AGUCAUUUUCUAUGGUAUUUUGAAAGUACUUAAAAGAAAUUUUAUUAUUUCUAAAUGACUA
rnacentral:tRNA from 1 species